rnacentral:rRNA from 1 species
GUGCCAGCAGCUGCGGUAAUACGUAGGUGGCAAGCGUUAUCCGGAUUUAUUGGGCGUAAAGAGAGUGCAGGCGGUUUUCUAAGUCUGAUGUGAAAGCCUUCGGCUUAACCGGAGAAGUGCAUCGGAAACUGGAUAACUUGAGUGCAGAAGAGGGUAGUGGAACUCCAUGUGUAGCGGUGGAAUGCGUAGAUAUAUGGAAGAACACCAGUGGCGAAGGCGGCUACCUGGUCUGCAACUGACGCUGAGACUCGAAAGCAUGGGUAGCGAACAGGAUUAGAU